ACCCCAAACCGACACAGGUGGUCAGGUAGAGAAUACCAAGGCGCUUGAGAGAACUCGGGUGAAGGAACUAGGCAAAAUGGUGCCGUAACUUCGGGAGAAGGCACGCUGAUAUGUAGGUGAAGUCCCUGCGGACGGAGCUGAAAUCAGUCGAAGAUACCAGCUGGCUGCAACUGUUUAUUAAAAACACAGCACUGUGCAAACACGAAAGUGGACGUAUACGGUG
rnacentral:rRNA from 1 species